AAGAGGCUAGACAUAAUUGUUAAUGCUUAUGUCAGCAUUAUUCUAUUCACCCUCCCAUCUAGUUACCCACACAUCCUUCCACCUGUCCUUUCAGUUGCCAUUUCAUUUAUUCACCCAAGCAUCCACCCACCUAUCCAUACAUCCACCCUUCCACCUAACCAUAUACCAAUUUACCCACCCACCUAGCCAGUAAACCACACAGCCAGCAAUCCAUCCACCCUUCUACCUACCCAUCCAUCCACCCCGCUGUUCAUCCAUUCACCAAUCCAUUCAUCCAUACACACCCCCAUCUAUCUGUCCUUCCCACACAGGCUUAUCCAAGAGCCAUCUGACACCAGCUUUGUGCCUUGGACCAAAACAGAGAUGGGUAAAGAUGUUGCCUGGAAAGCAGGAUGGUGGAGCUCCCCAGACCCUCAGCUCUGGUACCAGACAGAGCUGCGUUCCAAGCUUGCUUUUCCCUACUUCCUGGCUGUCAGAGUGACUUCACCUCUCUGAGGCUGUUUCCUCAACUAUAAAUUGGCAAAGCGAUUAAUAGCUGCUUACCAUAUAGUAGGCCCUUACGGAUAAUGUUCAUUGCUUACUUCCCCAGAAUCCAUUCCCUGUUCUACCAAUUUCUGAUGGGGAACAUUUUCCUACUCUUUGGUCAGUGUAAUCUGGGACGUGCCCUGCAGCCUCAGCCACUCAGGUGUUGUGCUCCUUGGUUCAGGGUGUGUGUGUGACCACACUGGUCCAACAGACUCUCUCUGUGCACCCCACCUUCAUAGACUCUGGGAAUGAAGUGGAUUCUGAAGGAUGCUGAGCAGAAAAAAAUGGAGAGAAACCCCACCCUAAAGACAUCACUUAAGCCCUUAGAUCCUGCUGCACCAUAGCUCCAGCCUGGCCUUUUCAGUCCAGCAAAUCCCCUUUUUGUCUGAGCCAGUUUUCUGCAACCAAAAGAGUCAACGGAUGCAAACUCAGUAAAUGUCAGCUGUAGGGCAUGGUGCUUCCCUCAGACAAGGGCAGCAAGCUGAGGAUGGAGCCUCUUCUUCCUUGGGGACUCAUUUGCCUUUGUGUUGCACACUUAUGCAAGCUUGGUUGCCUGGAUUCAGGACUCCAUUGGGGUCCAAAUUCUUGCUUCAGAGAGUCUUUGUUCUGAUGGUAACUUUAAUUAAGAGCUUUGCAAGUCCCUCUGUGAAGAGUUGCUCCAUUAGAACUUAAGAACUGUCCCCAGAGAGGUCGUUCCUGUUUCCGAUCCUCCAAACUCCAAGCCCAGAUUUACCAGAUGCCUCCCUUAGAGGGCUAACGAGCAGGCACUAUGGGGGCAGAGAGGUCCUACCUGUACGGGAUACAUGGAUUCACACUUAUCCCAUCAUACCCCUGCUGAAGGGCAUUAAAUGCUUCCCUGUUGGCCUGGCAUUCAAAAAUUGGAGAAUUGCAUUUUGAACACCGGCCUCUGCAAAUGGAGUUUGCUAGGGUUAAACUGUGAGGGAGAUGGGAAGUGACCUUGCACGGUAAGGGAGAGCUGCAUUGGUCAAUAAGACUUCCUAGAGGAAGCAGAGCUUGGGCAGCCAGUGCAACUUGCAGAUGCAGAGGGAGAGGAAAAAGCUGCCAGGCAGGGGAUGCAGCAUGGUGCAGGGCAUGGAGGUGGAACAGGGUGAGACUGAGAGAUGGGCCACAGAAGCUCUAGGUCACCACACCCAGCGGCGUUCCGCUCCUCUCUCUCUUUCUCUCUCUCAUCGCUUCACCCCUGUGGUCCCUGCAAAGUUGGGCCCAUUUCCUCUUACCUGGACAUUUGCUGUGGACCCCCCACUGGUCUCCCUGCCCGUCUCUGUAACCUCCAAUCCACCCUCCACAGCAGCGAUUCAUUCACCCAUCCAACCAUUCAUUCGUUCAGCAAAUAUUCACGGAAGGGCAGGGACUGUAUCAUGCAGGGCCCUGAGGCUGGAGCCCCUCCACCUUGAUGACCUUGUUUUCCUU
rnacentral:lncRNA from 1 species